rnacentral:ncRNA from 1 species
GCGGGACCGGGCCCCUCUGGCGCGUCAAUGACGCGUGAUGUCGGACCGCAUCG